rnacentral:rRNA from 1 species
GCCAUCGCUCAACGGAUAAAAGCUACCCCGGGGAUAACAGGCUUAUCUCCCCCAAGAGUUCACAUCGACGGGGAGGUUUGGCACCUCGAUGUCGGCUCAUCGCAUCCUGGGGCUGUAGUCGGUCCCAAGGGUUGGGCUGUUCGCCCAUUAAAGCGGUACGCGAGCUGGGUUCAGAACGUCGUGAGACAGUUCGGUCCCUAUCCGUCGUGGGCGUAGGAAAUUUGAGAGGAGCUGUCCUUAGUACGAGAGGACCGGGAUGGACAUACCUCUGGUGUACCAGUUGUCGUGCCAACGGCAUAGCUGGGUAGCUAUGUGUGGACGGGAUAAGUGCUGAAAGCAUCUAAGCAUGAAGCCCCCCUCAAGAUGAGAUUUCCCAACUUCGGUUAUAAGAUCCCUCAAAGAUGAUGAGGUUAAUAGGUUCGAGGUGGAAGCAUGGUGACAUGUGGAGCUGACGAAUACUAAUCGAUCGAAGACUUAAUCAA